GAUAAGUAAUGUGAAUUGCAGAAUUCAGUGAAUCAUCGAAUCUUUGAACGCACCUUGCGCUCCUUGGUAUUCCGAGGAGCAUGCCUGUUUGAGUGUCAUGGAAUCAUCAACCCUCAACCUUUGAGGACGAGGGCUUGGACUUGGAGGUUUCAUGCUGGCUUUGCCCUCUGUGAAGGGGUGGUCGGCUCCUCUUGAAUGCAUUAGCUUGAACCUAUGCUGUAUCGGCUUAUCGGUGUGAUAGCUGUCUACGCCGCGGCUGUGAGGCUUUUAAAACUCGGGCUCAGCUUCGAAUCGUCCCUCCGAGGGGGGGACGCCAACUUUAUUGACCUCUGACCUCAAAUCAGGUAGGAUUACCCGCUGAACUUAAGCAUAUCAAUAAGCGGAGGAAAAGAAACUAACAAGGAUUCCCCUAGUAACUGCGAGUGAAGCGGGAAGAGCUCAAAUUUAAAAUCUGGCGGUCCUUGCGGCCGUCCGAGUUGUAAUCUGGAGAAGUGCUUUCCGCGCUGGACCGUGUACAAGUCUCUUGGAACAGAGCGUCGUAGAGGGUGAGAAUCCCGUCUUUGACACGGACUACCAGUGCUUUGUGAUGCGCUCUCGACGAGUCGAGUUGUUUGGGAAUGCAGCUCAAAACGGGUGGUAAAUUCCAUCUAAAGCUAAAUAUUGGCGAGAGACCGAUAGCGAACAAGUACCGUGAGGGAAAGAUGAAAAGAACUUUGGAAAGAGAGUUAAACAGUACGUGAAAUUGCUGAAAGGGAAACGCUUGAAGUCAGUCGCGUCGGCCGGGAACUCAGCCUUGCUUCUGCCUGGUUUACUUUCCGGUCGACGGGUCAGCAUCAGUUUUGGUCGUCGGAAAAUGGCAGGGGGAACGUGGCAUCUUCGGAUGUGUUAUAGCCCUCGGUCGCAUACGAUGGUUGGGACUGAGGAUCUCAGCACACCUCUAUGGUCGGGGUUCGCCCACGUUUGUGCUUAGGAUGCUGGCAUAAUGGCUUUAAACGACCCGUCUGAAACACGGACCAAGGAGUCUAACAUGCGUGCGAGUGUUUGGGUGGAAAACCCGAGCGCGUAAUGAAAGUGAAAGUUGAGACCUCUGUCGCGGAGGGCAUCGACGCCCGGACCAGAACUUCUGUGACGGAUCUGCGGUAGAGCAUGUAUGUUGGGACCCGAAAGAUGGUGAACUAUGCCUGAAUAGGGUGAAGCCAGAGGAAACUCUGGUGGAGGCUCGUAGCGAUUCUGACGUGCAAAUCGAUCGUCAAAUUUGGGUAUAGGGGCGAAAGACUAAUCGAACCAUCUAGUAGCUGGUUCCUGCCGAAGUUUCCCUCAGGAUAGCAGAAGCUCAUGUCAGAUUUAUGUGGUAAAGCGAAUGAUUAGAGGCCUUGGGGUUGAAACAACCUUAACCUAUUCUCAAACUUUAAAUAUGUAAGARCGGGCCGUCGCUUGAUUGGACUGCCCGGCGAUUGAGAGUUUCUAGCGGG
rnacentral:rRNA from 1 species